UUCGCUGGCCCAGGAAGGGGUGAAUCACAGAUCAGUGUCAGAGGUGCGAUGAAAACCCAGGAGUUCUGAUUCCUGGGUCACCAUGCUCCCUUUGCCAAGGGUGGAGCCGACACCAACAGACUCUUAGCUCCUGUGCCCUGUGCAUCCUGGUGUUCGUGCACGUGCUGCACGGGUGAGCCUGCCUGAAACUGAGCGUGUGGGUUAAGGGUCUGGAAAGAUGCAUAAAUUUCCACUAGAAGAGGAGAAAGGCAUAAGACAGACCUCAGCUGUCGUCCAGGAAAGGAAGGGCCGCCAGUCUGGAGUGACAACUAGGAUCAACGAGGGGCAAGGAUAGAAGCAGAGACAUCAAUGAAGAAGAGGCUAUAGAAAGAUUCUGAGCAAGAAAUGACAAUGGGUUGGUAAUGGUAGUGCAGGUGAUAAGAAGAAGUCAUGUUCCGGAUGUAUUUUUUCAGAUCAUUUGCUCUGGAGAAAGCCAGCAGGCAUGAGAGGCCCAUAUGAUUAAAGCCGCAGCGUCUCUCAGUUGAAGGCAGAGGUAUAAAGUCAAAGACUCCAGAAGUUCUUGGAAAAUGAUAAGUCAAUCUCUUGACAAAUGAUCCGGGGCAACUUCGAAUUCCUGUUUCUAUCUCUACCUCUCUGAUUACUUUAACAAGCACUUUCUGAUUGGACCUUGGUAAUUCCAGCAAGCCAAGACUUUCCAUGGGACUUCACCUCACCCUCUUAGACUACUGGCAACCUCGCAUCCCCUGAAUUCCUGUUCAGGGAGAAGAGCAAGUCCUUCCUUCAGGGACUGGAGAAUGACAACCUUCACAGAACCCAGAGAUAGAGACUGAGGACUCAGAAUGUAGACUGGGAAUAAGAGAACUACAGCCAGGGGCCAAAUCUCUCCAGCCACACCAAAAAAAAAAAAAAAAAAAAAAGCUUGAUUGGGGUACAUUUGACAUACAAAAAAACUGCACACAUUUAAUGUAUACAAUUUGAUGAGUUGGGUACAUGCAUACAGCCAUGAAACUAUCACCACAAUCAAUGUAAUAAACAUAUC